rnacentral:rRNA from 1 species
UACAGAGGUCCCAAGCGUUGUUCGGAUUCACUGGGCGUAAAGGGUGCGUAGGUGGCCAGGUAAGUUCGGUGUGAAAGCUCGGAGCUUAACUCCGAAAUGGCAUUGAAUACUAUCUGGCUAGAGGGUCGGAGGGGAGACUGGAAUUCUCGGUGUAGCAGUGAAAUGCGUAGAUAUCGAGAGGAACACCAGUGGCGAAGGCGAGUCUCUGGACGACUCCUGACACUGAGGCACGAAAGCCAGGGGAGCGAACGGG